rnacentral:rRNA from 1 species
AGAGUUUGAUCCUGGCUCAGGACGAACGCUGGCGGCGUGCCUAAUACAUGCAAGUCGAACGCUUCUCUUUUCACCGGAGCUUGCUCCAACGAAAAGAGAAGAGUGGCGGACGGGUGAGUAACACGUGGGCAACCUGCCCAACAGAGGGGGAUAACUACUGGAAACGGUAGCUAAUACCGCAUAACGUCGCAAGACCAAAGUGGGGGACCUCCGGGCCUCGCGCCAUCAGAUGAACCCAUAUGGGAUUAGCUAGUAGGUAAGGUAACGGCUUACCUAGGCGACGAUCCCUAGCUGGUCUGAGAGGAUGACCAGCCACACUGGAACUGAGACACGGUCCAGACUCCUACGGGAGGCAGCAGUGGGGAAUAUUGCACAAUGGGCGCAAGCCUGAUGCAGCCAUGCCGCGUGUGUGAAGAAGGCCUUCGGGUUGUAAAGCACUUUCAGCGGGGAGGAAGGCGGUGAGGUUAAUAACCUCAUCGAUUGACGUUACCCGCAGAAGAAGCACCGGCUAACUCCGUGCCAGCCGCCGCGGUAAUAC